rnacentral:lncRNA from 1 species
AAAGUGCUGGGAUUACAGGUGUGAGCUACUGCGCCUGGCCAACGGUGUGUGUUUCUAAACAAAAAACCAAAUUUGAAAAGAAACAGGAAUAUGCAAUGAAGGCCCGGACCCUGUUGGAAGCCCUCAGAGGCAUGACUCCAGCUAAUUCUUAGCUUCCAGGGGUGAACCCAAAUGUGUAGCAGGUGCUUAGUUUGAUUCCCCGCUUACUCCUGAAUUCUCAAUCCACUCAGCACUGGUCUCCCUUUAGGGGUUCCACCUACUUUACUUGAAAGCUAUUGACCUAAGAUUGCCUGCGCAGAUAAUUUCCUGUACCCACUAACAUGGAUUAAAUUUUAUUGAGUGCAGAAACGACAUUUAAAACUUCACUGUAUCAUUCACAGCACGUAGCCCAGAAUGGAGUCCAAAAGUAUUAAUUCAAUCAUUGCCCCAACCAGUGGGCCAAGCUGAGCCGAUAGGACCCUUCUCCAACCUCUCCUUGUCCCUCCCACAUAGUCCUGACAAGCGGAUUGAGGCUAUUGUGUGGAGGAUCACAACCUAGAGCAAACAACGCUGUCUCUGAUGAUGGAGAUGAUGAUAGUACUAAUAGCAACCCCAAGAACAACAUUUACAAGUGCUUCCACCUAUGGGCCACGUACUGUGUUUAAGUUACUUAUGUGCAUUACCUCAUUUAAUCCUUAAGAAAUCCUCUGAGGUGUGUGCUAAAUGAGUGUCAUGAUGCACCUUUUACACACAAGAAACCUGAGGCUUUGGGAGAUUCAGAAAUGUGGAUCUGAGAGCCCAAGCCCUGAGUCAGCAGGAAAACCCGCAUUUCUCCUGGUCCUGUAGUCUUGAUCAGCUGUGCUGGUGCAGCCAGCACAGAGUGGAGGCUUUGAAACAUACAUCGUCUCACAAAGGACCAUUGUUUCCAACACAGGGAUCAGAAUAGCGCUGCUCCUGUCUUCUGGGUUGUUGUAAACAGUCUGGGUAGACCAGGGUCUUAUCUCCAUCUCCAGCUUAGGAGGCAGGAGACAAUUUGAUAGAAGCUGCACUUCAAUGACCACAGGCACACACAAAGAGUCUGCACAGGUUCACCCAAAGAUCUAUCUCCAAAAGCUGAGCUUUUCCUAGAACAGCCAUAAUAUCUGGCUUUAUUCCACAUUUGUCUUUACCUUACUGCUUCUCCUAAAGAAAGCCCUAUGACAAAAAUUGGCAAUAAAAUUAUUAACCAUAAUCAUUUUUGUCUUAAACCAACUCAUUUAUGUUUAAUGACCACUAAAGUAGGUGAGUUAAAAAUAACCUCGUAUUCUAUUUCUCCUUCUAGGUGAUUGGCGUCUCUUUCCAUUCAAAAUUAGAGAAAAUACCAAAGCUCAGCAGUGAUCUUCCUUCUAGAGGCUUGUUGGAACUCCAAACACAUACCCCUGACAGAUACAACAGGGAUUAAUGAGCCAUGACCAGAAGUUUGAUUUUUCUGUCGAGUGCUCCCAUCCGUCUUUAAUAAACAGAAGAACAACAUAAACUCCAUUGCCUGCUUUCCACUGCUGAAACUGAGCUGGCUGUUCCUGGUACCAUGUGUGUUGAGCUGAGUUAUGAUUCUAAAUGACUCGACAAACGCUUUUACAAGCCCCUUUGGUCUGCUACUCUGGUGACUGGCUUUGCUCUCCAAGUUCCAUUUCUUUGCCUCUGUUUAACGUGGGCAGCUCAGUGCUUUGCCAGUGGAAACCAUCAAAUAAGGCUGUCUCCUGCGAGGACCAGAAGUUGAGCCAAGGCACAUGGAACUUACAAUAGCAGAUGGUAAGAACCAGGGCAGAAGGAGAACUCCUGAAGCCUCCGAAGGAAGGAAAUCAUUACAGGGCCCUACAGAAGUAGGUCAUGUGCUACAGCUGCUCAUAGUUUAAGAGGAAGAAACAUGGGAUCUCAAACCUGGAACACGACUCUUUCAAAAUGCUUGUGAGCAACCCAAGAAAAACAUCCUCCUGAGGCUUAUCUAAUAACCAUGAUCUCUAAUCGUCUCAAUGUGUGCUCAUGUUUCCUUAGGAGUUUGCACCCACUUCUCAGAGCUAACGAGAUGCCGAAACAGAACACAGAAAAAAGUAAUGAAGGAGAUUUAAUAGUUUGUGUUAAAGCUAAUAUGGUCCAUUAGGGGCUGUCAUUUUUAUAAACAGUGAGGAUACGUUACCCUCUUCUUUGGUGUAAAGUCAUUCCGUGCAGGACCUGUAAACAUUCAGUAAUGAUCUGUAGAACAUGCAUGAACGACAAUUAAAGCACCACUUGAAAAGUCUGUUUUCCUCACAUAUUUGUUUUCUUGCUAAAUAAACUUGUAAAGUUCAUACAUGUGUACGCAUAUGCUUACAUUAUAAAAAAAGUGUGCAUUUCAUUAAGAACAUCUACGAACAGAUAUAAGUGUUUUUGGUUCCCAUUAGCUUGAGAAAUAUCAGAAGUGAUUAGUUAAAUGAGGAGCAUAGGUUCUGUUUUUUAGUGCAUACUAUAAUAAUAAAACAACCACUCUUUUAUGGUAGCUUAGCAAGACAAAAUUAUAGUUCACAAUGUCAUGAAAGGCAUGAUUACAACCUUUGAAAGUUACAAGUAAAAAAGCUUCUAUAAAACCUAUCUGUUGCCAAAAAAUUAUGUUCUACAGUGAUUCAGAUAUAUUUCUGAAAUUUAUUUUUUAAUUGUGGCUGAUACCAA